rnacentral:rRNA from 1 species
GAUGAACGCUGGCGGCGUGCUUAACACAUGCAAGUCGAACGAUGAAGCCCAGCUUGCUGGGUGGAUUAGUGGCGAACGGGUGAGUAACACGUGAGUAACCUGCCCUUAACUCUGGGAUAAGCCUGGUAAACUGGGUCUAAUACCGGAUAGGAGCUUCCACCGCAUGGUGGGUGUUGGACAGCUUUAUCGGUUUUGGAUGGACUCGCGGCCUAUCAGCUUGUUGGUGAGGUAAUGGCUCACCAAGGCGACGACGGGUAGCCGGCCUGAGAGGGUGACCGGCGACAAUGGGACUGAGACACGGACCAGACUCCUACGGGAGGCAGCAGUGGGGAAUAUUGCACAAUGGGCGCAAGCGUGAUGCAGAGAAGCAGCGUGAGGGAUGACGGCCUUCGGGUUGUAAACCUCUUUCAGUAGGGAAGAAGCGAAAGUGACGGUACCUGCAGAAGAAGCACCGGCUAACUACGUG